GAUGAACGCUGGCGGCGUGCCUAAUACAUGCAAGUCGAGCGAACAGACGAGGAGCUUGCUCCUCUGACGUUAGCGGCGGACGGGUGAGUAACACGUGGAUAACCUACCUAUAAGACUGGGAUAACUUCGGGAAACCGGAGCUAAUACCGGAUAAUAUAUUGAACCGCAUGGUUCAAUAGUGAAAGACGGUUUUGCUGUCACUUAUAGAUGGAUCCGCACCGCAUUAGCUAGUUGGUAAGGUAACGGCUUACCAAGGCAACGAUGCGUAGCCGACCUGAGAGGGUGAUCGGCCACACGGGAACUGAGACACGGUCCAGACUCCUACGGGAGGCAGCAGUAGGGAAUCUUCCGCAAUGGGCGAAAGCCUGACGGAGCAACGCCGCGUGAGUGAUGAAGGUCUUCGGAUCGUAAAACUCUGUUAUUAGGGAAGAACAAAUGUGUAAGUAACUAUGCACGUCUUGACGGUACCUAAUCAGAAAGCCACGGCUAACUACGUG
rnacentral:rRNA from 1 species